rnacentral:rRNA from 1 species
CUCAGUUCGGAUUGGAGGCUGAAACCCGCCUCCCAUGAAGUUAGAUUCGCUAGUAAUCGCGCAUCAGCCAUGGCGCGGUGAAUACGUUCCCGGGCCCUUGUACACACCGCCCGUCAAGCCAUGGAAGCUGGGGGUGCCUGAAGUUCGUGACCGGAAGGAGCGACCUAGGGCAAAACCGGUGACUGGGGCUAAGUCGUAACAAGGUAAC